CUGGAUAGUUACAUUGCACCCUCAACAAUAAAGGGUUCUUUUUGUAAGCGAGAAGGAGAACAGAGAUUCUGGGGGCAGUGAACAGCUGCCUUGGCCAUUUCUACUUAUUAUUCUCUAAAAGUCCUAAAUAUGCAGCUUAAAAUAUCAGUUCUACAAAAAUAACAUAAUAACAGAAAUUCACCCUGCAGUAUCAAGGACAAAAAUUAUCAGAUUAUUUCC
rnacentral:lncRNA from 1 species